rnacentral:rRNA from 1 species
CGGCAUGCCUUACACAUGCAAGUCGAACGGCAGGCACGGGGCGAACCUGGUGGCGAGUAGGCGAACGGGUGAGUAAUGCAUCGGAACGUGCCAUUGAUGGGGGAUAACGUAGCGAAAGUUGCGCUAAUACCGCAUAUUCUGUGAGCAGGAAAGCAGGGGACCGCAAGGCCUUGCGCUCUUUGAGCGGCCGAUGUCAGAUUAGCUAGUUGGUGAGGUAACGGCUUACCAAGGCGACGAUCUGUAGCGGGUCUGAGAGGAUGAUCCGCCACACUGGAACUGAGACACGGUCCAGACUCCUACGGGAGGCAGCAGUGAGGAAUUUUGGACAAUGGGGGCAACCCUGAUCCAGCCAUGCCGCGUGAGUGAAGAAGGCCUUCGGGUUGUAAAGCUCUUUCGGCCGGGAAGAAAUCGCAUGGGUUAAUACCCUGUGUGGAUGACGGUACCGGCAUAAGAAGCACCGGCUAACUACGUG